CCUACGGGUGGCAGCAGUGAGGAAUAUUGGUCAAUGGCCGGGAGGCUGAACCAGCCAAGUCGCGUGAGGGAAGACGGCCCUAUGGGUUGUAAACUGCUUUUGUCAGGGAGUAAGGUGCAGGUCGGGACCUGCUGUGAGAGUACCUGAAGAAAAAGCACCGGCUAACUCCGUGCCAGCAGCCGCGGUAAUACGGAGGAUGCGAGCGUUAUCCGGAUUUAUUGGGUUUAAGGGGUGCGCAGGCGGAGGCAAAAGUCGGCGGUAAAAUCGCGGGGCUCAACCCCGCUCCGCCGUGGCAACUGUGUCCCUUGAGUGCGCGGAGGGUAGGCGGAAUGCGUGGUGUAGCGGUGAAAUGCAUAGAUAUCACGAAGAACUCCGAUCGCGAAGGCAGCCUACGGGAGCGCAACUGACGCUCAUGCACGAAAGCGUGGGUAUCGAACAGGAUUAGAUACCCUAGUAGUC
rnacentral:rRNA from 1 species